GGAAUAGCUCAGUCGUAGAGUGCGUGCUUAGCAUGCAUGAGGUCCUGGGUUUAAUCCCCAGUACCUCCA
rnacentral:tRNA from 1 species